AUUGAACGCUGGCGGCAUGCUUUACACAUGCAAGUCGAACGGUAACAGGUUAAGCUGACGAGUGGCGAACGGGUGAGUAAUGCAUCGGAACGUGCCCGAUCGUGGGGGAUAACGCAGCGAAAGCUGCGCUAAUACCGCAUACGAUCUGCGGAUGACAGCGGGGGACCGUAAGGCCUCGCCCGAUCGGAGCGGCCGAUGUCAGAUUAGGUAGUUGGUGGGGUAAAGGCUCACCAAGCCAACGAUCUGUAGCUGGUCGGAGAGGACGACCAGCCACACUGGGACUGAGACACGGCCCAGAUUCCUACGGGAGGCAGCAGUGGGGAAUUUUGGACAAUGGGCGAAAGCCUGAUCCAGCAAUGCCGCGUGCAGGAAGAAGGCCUUCGGGUUGUAAACUGCUUUUGUACGGAGCGAAAAGGCUCUCUCUAAUACAGGGGGCUCAUGACGGUACCGUAAGAAUAAGCACCGGCUAACUACGUGCCAGCAGCCGCGGUAAGAC
rnacentral:rRNA from 1 species